GUUGACCUCGGAUCAGGUAGGGGAUACCCGCUGAA
rnacentral:rRNA from 1 species